rnacentral:rRNA from 1 species
AGAGUUUGAUCCUGGCUCAGAUUGAACGCUGGCGGCAUGCUUUACACAUGCAAGUCGAACGGCAGCACGGGUGCUUGCACCUGGUGGCGAGUGGCGGACGGGUGAGUAAUACAUCGGAACGUAUCCUAAAGUGGGGGAUAACGCAUCGAAAGAUGUGCUAAUACCGCAUACACUCUGAGGAGGAAAGUAGGGGAUCGAAAGACCUUAUGCUUUUGGAGCGGCCGAUGUCUGAUUAGCUAGUUGGUAAGGUAAUGGCUUACCAAGGCAACGAUCAGUAGUUGGUCUGAGAGGACGACCAGCCACACUGGGACUGAGACACGGCCCAGACUCCUACGGGAGGCAGCAGUGGGGAAUUUUGGACAAUGGGCGCAAGCCUGAUCCAGCAAUGCCGCGUGAGUGAAGAAGGCCUUCGGGUUGUAAAGCUCUUUCAGUUGAGAAGAAAAGAUUGUGACUAAUAAUUGCAAUUCAUGACGGUAUCAACAGAAGAAGCACCGGCUAACUACGUGCCAGCAGCCGCGGUAAUACGUAGGGUGCGAGCGUUAAUCGGAAUUACUGGGCGUAAAGGGUGCGCAGGCGGUUCUGUAAGUCAGAUGUGAAAUCCCCGGGC